AGGCGGGCUCUUACGGCGCAAAACUCCUACCCUUCCUCUUCGGCGGCGCUGCGCUGGGCGCCGUGACCAAUCACAAGCCACGUCGUGCCGCCACAGCCAAUCGGAAAAGCCGGGCAUUAAGACGAGCCUUUGACGGCCCCUCCCUCUCGGCUUGAGGGCGCUUCGUGGGUUUGGUGUUUGUGGCCUCGUUUUCGUCCUGUGUCAGCUCCGGAGGUUACAUCCGAUGCCAUCGGGUUCUUGUGAGGCCGAGCGUGAAAAUGCGGAGCGAAGAGGCAAGGGCGAAACCGAGGCGAAUCCAGGGGCACGCGGAUAGGGCCCGGGCGCGAACGCAGAAGCGCCCGGAGGGAGAGGGGGGAGAAGCGCAGCGCCCUGGAGAUGCGGAGACGGAAUCGGGCCCCCACGUCAGCGACCCCCGAGAGGCGGAGCGUCUCCCUGCGAUCCGUUAGGUAGUGGCUUGAUGUGGAGGUAGUGGAGGAGCUGCGGGUGUGCCUGGCCCGAGAUCGGGGACCCGGAGGAGCUCGAAUGACAGUGCGGUGGGGACACGUCGGCUUCACUUCAACGACCCCUUCUCCGGAGACCCUUCGCCCCUGUGGGGGGUGACGGAAGCCGGGAAUUAACAUUCUUGGAGAUGUUGGAAAAAGAUUCCUGGGCCUUCCAAGAUUACUACUCCACAUAUACAGGGGAGGUAGCAUAUCGCAGAGAGUGGAGAGACGUCAGUUUCUUGAUUCUCACUUGGCAAGUCUCAGUUCCUUGAUGGCUCUUGGCUAAAGACUUCAGUUCUUCACCGUGUGAACAUAGGCUGCCUGAGUAUCCCCACAACGUGUCAGCUGGCUUCCACCAGAGGCAGUGAUCUAAGAGAGAAAUGCCAAGACAACGUGUAGGUGGGCACAUACAGGGAUGUGAAUACCAAGGGUUGGGGAAUGUUGAGGAUCCUCCUGGAGGUUGACUGCUAUACCUGACUCUUGUUUUUUUAAUUGCUUCAGUUUAUUGAGUCAAGAGUUUAGUAUUUGACCCUCAGGUCAGAUAAUUAGAAGUAUGAGAGUCUAGAUCCAAAUGAGCACUCUCUUUUCUAAGGUGCACAGUUUCUUGCUGGGGAAUAUAUCAGUUCCAUAAAUCAUGCUAUAGUCCUUUUCGAAGUUUUCUAGGGAGUGUAUAAGAAAGCUCAUUUUAUAGCUAGAAUACUCUACCUUGAUCAAAUAUAUUUUUUGGACCCAUUUCCCCUUUCCCGGUUCUUCUAGGUGGAGGUGGUUGGAGAAGCUGGAGGUAGACUGUAUAUAGAAGUACCUGUGCUAUUUUGCUUGCGGUGCACACUGACUUGGUGGAAAAUCGUGUUUCAAGUUUUUCAAGGAAUGUAGUCCACAAAUACUUAAAGGCACUUAUUCAAAUAUUUGACAUAGGAUGGAAUGAAGGUACAAAUAUGCUACAGCAGCUUUAGAGUAAUUUGUCCUUUUCCUCAAAAGCUAGGUAUUUAUCCACUAUGGAGUGAAAUUGAAGGGUGUUUUUCUUAACAUCAUUUUGUCAGAUUCAUCUGAUAAAUGUGAACGUUUAUAUAGAAGACCUAAAAGUUGAUGAAAAACUUUUUAUUUGCCUUAAUGAAAAGAUGUACAAAAUAAGUGUAUUCAGAAACAAAACUAAACCUUAAUGAGAUGGAUGCUGUUACAGGAGUAAACAUGGUGUCUGCUGAAUGAUACAGGCAGUCUUUACUUUGCACCAUUCCAAUAUACAUGAAGAUGAGUUUUUACAGUUAAGUAACACCAAUUCCCCUACAACAUGGUUGAAAUUUCAGUUACUACAAUAAUAACCAAAUUGUUGCAUAAGCUUUUCUGAAGCUCUUUAUUCCACAAAUGAUUAUAUAUAUAAAAGAUGGUCAGUAACCACUUAUAAUCACUUCUUUCAGAAGUCUGUUGGUCAGUGAUCAUUGAUCACUGAACAUCUAUCAGUUCACAAAGAGUAAAGCAUGUAGUUGUGUUGCCUGUUUCCCAGUGAUAAACUCCCCAACAUUUUACAAAAAUGGAUCAUCAAAAGAGGGAACUGGUCAACAAAGCUGACAGGGCAGCAAAGAGACAAAAAUUGGUAACACUGGAAGUGACAUUGGAUGUCAUUAGAAGAUUGGAAAAUGGUGACAGCAGAGCGAAGAAGAGACCUGGGCUGACAUGAGCCUGUAGUACGAACUAUCUUUUAACAGUUCAGUGAAACAAGAACUUUUAGGUAGAGUUGCUUCAACAUGUUUUAUUUUAAAUUGUACUAGGACCAGAAAGCCAUGUAUGGUCGAAAUGGAGUGUUUACUUCUACUUUCAACUGAGGGCUCUAAUAAACAAUCCCAAGCACUUUGGCUAGCAUUCAAGCCAAAGUGUUGAGGUUAGUUGCUGCACUGAAGGAAAAUGGUAGCUAAAAGGAGAAUGAAAAAAACA